ACGGCCGUACCAUGCUGAAUAUACCGGCUCUCCUAAGACACCGAAGAUACCGUUAGAUCACCGAAGUUAAGCAUCAUUGGGCGCGGUCAGUACUUGGGUGGGUGACCACCUGGGAACACUGCGUGCCGUU